UGAGGAGGAUUCGGGAAAUAUUACCCUCAGUGAUGAUAUUUCCCUCGGGAAAUAUCUUCGGAUAAUAUUUCGCCGAAUCCUCCUCGCUCCAGGUCUAUAAAUGAUAAAUAUCCAUGGUAUGUAAAUUGCAAUUAGUAUGAAAAUUGGAUUUCCAUACUAUUUCCAACGAAGAUCCAUGCUAUUUCCAUAGUAAGGAUUUGAAAACAAUUUCCAGUGGUUGUCUUUCAAAGAGAUUCGAAAUGAGUUACCUAUAAAUUGUGUGUUUUAAUGCAGCAAAUGGAACUAAAAUCCCAUAUGAAGGUUGGGUAGAGCUCAAGUUUGGGUUAUGUGCCCCAACCAAUGGCCAUGAAGUAGUUGUGUCAUCUACGAAUGGGUACGAAUACCAUUUGGAGUUUGGACUGCGAAACGCACCUGGGGAGUUCCAACGUUUCAUGAAAAACUGUUUAACGGACUUACGUGAUGAAAUCUGCAUCCCGGAAAAGGACGAUGUCAUUGUCUUUAGUAAAAUUUUUGAGGAACAUAUUGAACAUGGUCGAAAGGUUUGCAAAGAUUACGCCAACAUGGUGUAAAGUCGAAGGCGAAAAAGUGUAAACUAUA